rnacentral:tRNA from 2 species
GUGUCUGUAGCUCAGUUGGAUAGAGCAACGGCCUUCUAAGCCGUGGGUCGGGGGUUCGAAUCCCUCCAGGCACG